AGACCCGAAACCCGGUGAUCUAGCCAUGGGCAGGUUGAAGGUUGGGUAACACUAACUGGAGGACCGAACCGACUAAUGUUGAAAAAUUAGCGGAUGACCUGUGGCUGGGGGUGAAAGGCCAAUCAAACCGGGAGAUAGCUGGUUCUCCCCGAAAGCUAUUUAGGUAGCGCCUCGUGAAUUCAUCUCCGGGGGUAGAGCACUGUUUCGGCUAGGGGGCCAUCCCGGCUUACCAACCCGAUGCAAACUGCGAAUACCGGAGAAUGUUAUCACGGGAGACACACGGCGGGUGCUAACGUCCGUCGUGAAGAGGGAAACAACCCAGACCGCCAGCUAAGGUCCCAAAGUCAUGGUUAAGUGGGAAACGAUGUGGGAAGGCCCAGACAGCCAGGAUGUUGGCUUAGAAGCAGCCAUCAUUUAAAGAAAGCGUAAUAGCUCACUGGUCGAGUCGGCCUGCGCGGAAGAUGUAACGGGGCUAAACCAUGCACCGAAGCUGCGGCAGCGACACUGUGUGUUGUUGGGUAGGGGAGCGUUCUGUAAGCCUGUGAAGGUGUGUCGUGAGGCAUGCUGGAGGUAUCAGAAGUGCGAAUGCUGACAUAAGUAACGAUAAAGCGGGUGAAAAGCCCGCUCGCCGGAAGACCAAGGGUUCCUGUCCAACGUUAAUCGGGGCAGGGUGAGUCGACCCCUAAGGCGAGGCCGAAAGGCGUAGUCGAUGGGAAACGGGUUAAUAUUCCCGUACUUGGUGUUACUGCGAAGGGGGGACGGAGAAGGCUAUGUUGGCCGGGCGACGGUUGUCCCGGUUUAAGCGUGUAGGCUGGUUUUCCAGGCAAAUCCGGAAAAUCAAGGCUGAGGCGUGAUGACGAGGCACUACGGUGCUGAAGCAACAAAUGCCC
rnacentral:rRNA from 1 species